AUAGACACAUUAGACACCUAAAUCAGAAGAUCCCUCUCCCCCAGAGAUAAACCAAAAACGACGCUAUCUCUGAUCUUCAAGGAGAACGCCUGAAGACCUUCUCCCAAAUGCCCAUUUCAUCUCACUCACACACAGUAGAAGAACAAAUCAGAGCUACGAAUUAAAAAAAAAACAAAUAAAUUUUCAGAUCGGAAAACAGAUGCUCCGGAAAUCAAAGCAAAAAACAAAAAAAGAAAAAGAGAGAAGGAAAUUGAAAGUUGUUUCCGAUUUUUGUUUAGUUGCUGCGUAUGUUCUGGGGUUAUCGAGCUGUGUGGGCAUAAGAAGUUGCUGAUUGUUGUUGUUCCUGCUUCUUCUCUGUGCCUUUGUUUGGCUUUGUCACUCUAUUUUUCUGCAUUUGAGAUUUGGGCCACUCGGAGCAGGAUAUUCGUGGGAAAGGCACUAUGACUGAUUGAUUGAGCUUGGUUUGAGGUACUAGCUAUCAGCCUUGAGUCUAGUUGCGUGGUUGCUGCUUCAGGAGACUUCAAGGUACAUCUGCUCGCGUCCGCAGACUUAAGAGUCCCCCUCUAUCCCCCGUGUUCAUUUUUUCCUUCUUUCUGUUGAAAUGAUGUAUAGAACAGUUAAGACUCUUAAGUAGCUUGUGACUUACGAUAUUCCGGGUUUUGAAAAAGUGAUUAUUGUAUAUGCCGAACGACAUCUUUUAUGUUUAUUAUCUGUU